UGGUUCUGGCAUCGAUGAAGAACGCAGCGAAAUGCGAUAAGUAAUGUGAAUUGCAGAAUUCAGUGAAUCAUCGAAUCUUUGAACGCACAUUGCGCCCAUUAGUAUUCUAUUGGGCAUGCCUGUUCGAGCGUCAUUUUCACCCUUAAGCCUAGCUUAGCGUUGGGAGUCUACUGCGGAGCCAACCUGUACCUACCCUGUAGCUGCGGCGACCCUACCCUGUAGUUCCCUAAAUUCAACGGCGGAGCUAUAGUCACCUCUGAGCGCAGUAAUAUCUAUCACGCUUUGGAAGGUGCUAUAAUUGCGGCCGUUAAACCCCCAAGUUUUAAUGGUUGACCUCGGAUCAGGUAGGAAUACCCGCUGA
rnacentral:misc_RNA from 1 species